CUACGUGCCAGCAGCCGCGGUAAUACGUAGGGUGCGGGCGUUGUCCGGAAUUAUUGGGCGUAAAGAGCUUGUAGGCGGUUUGUCGCGUCUGCCGUGAAAACCUAGGGCUUAACUCUGGGCGUGCGGUGGGUACGGGCAGGCUAGAGUGUGGUAGGGGAGACUGGAAUUCCUGGUGUAGCGGUGAAAUGCGCAGAUAUCAGGAGGAACACCGAUGGCGAAGGCAGGUCUCUGGGCCAUAACUGACGCUGAGAAGCGAAAGCAUGGGGAGCGAACAGGAUUAGAUACCCUGGUAGUCCAUGCCGUAAACGUUGGGCGCUAGGUGUGGGGCUCAUUCCACGAGUUCUGUGCCGCAGCUAACGCAUUAAGCGCCCCGCCUGGGGAGUACGGCCGCAAGGCUAAAACUCAAAGGAAUUGACGGGGGCCCGCACAAGCGGCGGAGCAUGCGGAUUAAUUCGAUGCAACGCGAAGAACCUUACCAAGGCUU
rnacentral:rRNA from 1 species